AGUGUAUGUGUGUGUGUGUGUGUGUGUGUGUGUGUGAGUGUGUCUGCCCUAAAACUCAUCUGCUUCUGUACAGGGUUGGAGCAAGCAAGGCUGAUACAAGGUUUUUGCGGAUGAUGCAAACGUUACUGGAGUAUGAAGGGUCAACUGGAACACCCCCUGCAACAGACAUUUCCCCCUACCCAAUUAAGGGUAUAGAAGCUGGGUGACCCGCCUGCUGCCACUCCCUAAGGACACAGAUGUUCCAGUAAGGAGUCCCCACAUCUGGAGCUCCAAGAAUUCUACAAGAACGAGAGCUAAAAUGACAAGAGGACAACAACCAUGUAAGUCCUCUCAUCUCCAUACACUGAAAGUGUCUCCUUUAUGUCCCCGGCAGUAUAGGGGAUGUGGUCCGGUGUUUUGUCGAGUUGUG
rnacentral:lncRNA from 1 species